rnacentral:rRNA from 1 species
UACGGGGGGAGCAAGCGUUGUUCGGAUUUACUGGGCGUAAAGGGCGCGUAGGCGGCCACCGCAAGUCGACUGUGAAAUCUCCGGGCUUAACCCGGAAAGGUCAGCCGAUACUGCGGGGCUAGAGUGCAGAAGGGGCAACUGGAAUUCUCGGUGUAGCGGUGAAAUGCGUAGAUAUCGAGAGGAACACCGGUGGCGAAGGCGGCAUCCUGGACCGGUAUUGACGCUGAGGCGCGAAAGCUAGGGGAGCAAACGGG